rnacentral:lncRNA from 1 species
AACCACAAUCACUAUCACAAUUGCCACGACCAAAUCUCGCAAAACCACAAUCGUCGUCCAACUGCUAUGAACUUGCCAUCACUAGGAGGCUAUUGCGAACUCACCGUUGCUAGAAGCCACUAUCAAAAAUCGCAGCCAAUGAGAUUGUUGCAUGAUCUGAUGUUUGCUGCUACAAGAUGUGGCAAGUCUGCUGCAUGAUUCUCCUUGCUCCAUCCCAGAUUUUUCGUGAUUUUGGUGGCCGAAGGGUUUCUGUGUCAUUAGAUUGUGGUAUGAUUUGGGUGCAGUGUUAUAUUGUGUUUUGUUGUGUGCGAUGGGUGCGAGGUGGUGGUGGGUUUGACGGUGGUGAGAUGGUGGUUUUUAGGGGAGGGGGUUACUGUGGUUUAAGUGGAGUUUAUGUGGUGGUGGUGAUGUUCGGCGGUGGUAGAGAUGGUGACCUAAAAAUUGUGAAUAUGAAUCGUAAGUGUUGUGAUUGUCACGAAUUAUUUGGUUAACUGUGACCAUUAAAUGGUUAAUCAGUGACCAAUAAAUAUUAUGUGACCAGUGAAAAAGAUAAAUUGUUAACGAAAAUAAUGUGUGACCUAAAAAUUGUUAAUUUGUGACCGAUUAUUUGAUUAUUUGUGACUGUAUAAUAAGUUGUGACUUGUAUUAUUUGUGAUUUGUUAUUAAUAAAUAAAUCGUGACUUAUAAAUUUUUCGAUUUGUGACUGAUGAACAAAAUGUGACCUAUAAAAUUUUUGAAUUGUGAUCCUAAAA